GCGGAGGAAAAGAAACCAACUGGGAUUGCCUCAGUAACGGCGAGUGAAGCGGCAACAGCUCAAAUUUGAAAUCUGGCGCCUUGGGCGUCCGAGUUGUAAUUUGUAGAGGGAGUCUCGGGUUAAGGGUCGGUCCAAGUGCCUUGGAACAGGAUACCGAAGAGGGUGAGAGUCCCGUAUCCGGCCGACGCCAGCGCCCGUGUGAGGCCCCUUCGACGAGUCGAGUUGUUUGGGAAUGCAGCUCUAAAUGGGUGGUAAAUUCCAUCUAAAGCUAAAUACUGGCCAGAGACCGAUAGCGCACAAGUAGAGUGAUCGAAAGAUGAAAAGCACUUUGAAAAGAGAGUCAAACAGUACGUGAAAUUGUUGAAAGGGAAGCGUAUGUGGGCAGACUUGGACGCUGGAUUCAGGCCGCCUUCUGGCGGGUGUAUUUUCCAGCGGACAGGCCAGCAUCGGUUCUGAGGGCCGGACAAAGACGAAGGGAAUGUGGCUCCUCUCUGGGGAGUGUUAUAGCCCGGCGUGCAAUGCGGCCACUUGGACCGAGGACCGCGCAUUUGCAAG
rnacentral:rRNA from 1 species